rnacentral:rRNA from 1 species
UACGUAGGGUGCGAGCGUUGUCCGGAAUUAUUGGGCGUAAAGAGCUUGUAGGCGGUCUGUCGCGUCUGCUGUGAAAAUCCGGGGCUCAACCCCGGACUUGCAGUGGGUACGGGCAGACUAGAGUGUGGUAGGGGAGACUGGAAUUCCUGGUGUAGCGGUGAAAUGCGUAGAUAUCGAGAGGAACACCUGCGGCGAAGGCGGGUUGCUGGGCUGACACUGACGCUGAUGCGCGAAAGCCAGGGGAGCGAACGGG